rnacentral:lncRNA from 1 species
GGGGCGACCGACAAUAGACCGAUCAGCGGUGGUCGAAGGUGGCUGGACCGUGACCAACAACAAUGACAGUGACAGUGAUUGUGCCAUCAGCAAUGGUGACAAUUGUGAUUCAUGGUGGUGACAACGGUUCGACGGUGAUCCUUUUGGUGUGUUUUUUUUUCCCAUUUUUUUUGGUUUUUGGAUUUUGGGAAACCCAAAACCAUGAUAUUUUGCUUUUACCUAGAAGACCCAUAGAAUUCUUUGCGAUAAUGAAUGAAAAUUUUUCUUUAUCUAUUUUUCUAGGAUGGAAUCAUGGAAACUUUGGCUGGUCAGAGUAGUUUAAUUUUAUUCUUUUAUGUGAUAGCAUGAUAAUAUUUAAA